AGAGUUUGAUCCUGGCUCAGGAUGAACGCUGACAGAAUGCUUAACACAUGCAAGUCUACUUGAUCCUUCGGGUGAUGGUGGCGGACGGGUGAGUAACGCGUAAAGAACUUGCCUUGCAGUCUGGGACAACGUCUGGAAACGGACGCUAAUACCGGAUAUUAUGAUUGAAUCGCAUGAUUUGAUUAUGAAAGCUAUAUGCGCUGCGAGAGAGCUUUGCGUCCCAUUAGUUAGUUGGUGAGGUAACGGCUCACCAAGACGAUGAUGGGUAGCCGGCCUGAGAGGGUGAACGGCCACAAGGGGACUGAGACACGGCCCUUACUCCUACGGGAGGCAGCAGUGGGGAAUAUUGGACAAUGGACCAAAAGUCUGAUCCAGCAAUUCUGUGUGCACGAUGAAGUUUUUCGGAAUGUAAAGUGCUUUCAGUUGGGAAGAAGAAAGUGACGGUACCAACAGAAGAAGCGACGGCUAAAUACGUGCCAGCAGCCGCGGUAAUACGUAUGUCGCAAGCGUUAUCCGGAUUUAUUGGGCGUAAAGCGCGUCUAGGCGGUUUGGUAAGUCUGAUGUGAAAAUGCGGGGCUCAACUCCGUAUUGCGUUGGAAACUGCCAAACUAGAGUACUGGAGAGGUAGGCGGAACUACAAGUGUAGAGGUGAAAUUCGUAGAUAUUUGUAGGAAUGCCGAUGGGGAAGCCAGCCUACUGGACAGAUACUGACGCUAAAGCGCGAAAGCGUGGGUAGCAAACAGGAUUAGAUACCCUGGUAGUCCACGCCGUAAACGAUGAAUGCUAGGU
rnacentral:rRNA from 1 species